GCAGACACAUUCCAGCCAAUCAGCAGCAGACCCUCCCUCCCAGACCCUCCCACCUCCUGGACAGCAUCAUUAAGAAUUGUGAAGCUGCAUUCUUAGUGAGCUGUCCAGGAGGUGGGAGAGUCUGGGAGGGAGGGUCUGCUGCUGAUUGGCUGGAAUGUGUCUG